GAUGAACGCUAGCGGGAGGCCUAACACAUGCAAGCCGAGCGGUAUUGUUUCUUCGGAAAUGCGAGAGCGGCGUACGGGUGAGUAACACGUGUGCAACCUGCCUUUAUCUGGGGGAUAGCCUUUCGAAAGGAAGAUUAAUACUCCAUAAUAUAUUGAACGGCAUCGUUUAAUAUUGAAAGCUCCGGCGGAUAGAGAUGGGCACGCGCAAGAUUAGCUAGUUGGUGAGGUAACGGCUCACCAAGGCGAUGAUCUUUAGGGGGCCUGAGAGGGUGAUCCCCCACACUGGUACUGAGACACGGACCAGACUCCUACGGGAGGCAGCAGUGAGGAAUAUUGGUCAAUGGGUGCAAGCCUGAACCAGCCAUCCCGCGUGAAGGACGACUGCCCUAGGGGUUGUAAACUUCUUUUGUAUAGGGAUAAACCUACCCUCGAGAGGGUAGCUGAAGGUACUAUACGAAUAAGCACCGGCUAACUCCGUG
rnacentral:rRNA from 1 species